AUUUUCAGCAGACAAAGCAUCUUUUGUCUUAUGAAAUUACAACUCCUUGGAGAUUAACUAGAGAAAGAAGGGAAGCCCUGAGGCCCAGUUCAAAGCAGGUGUCUUAUGUCAUUGAGGCUCAAGGAAAACAGCAUAUUAUUCACUUGGAAAGAAACAUAGACCUUUUACCUAAUGACUUUGUAGUCUAUACCUACGAUGAGGAAGGCACUCUGCUCUCUGACCGUCCCAGUGUGCAGAGUCAUUGUCAUUAUCGGGGCUACGUGGAGGGAGUGCACAAUUCAGCUGUUGCUGUGAGUGUCUGCUCUGGCCUCAGAGGAUUGCUGCAUUUCGAGAAUGCCAGUUUUGGAAUUGAACCUCUGCACAACAGCUCGAACUUCGAGCACAUAUUUUACCCAAUGGAUGAUGUCCAGCAGGAGCCUUUGAGAUGUGGAGUUUCUAACAGGGACAUAGAAAAGGAGGCCAUAAAGGAGGACUGGCAAGAACACCCAAGUGUGACUCAGCUGCUGCGUAGAAGAAGAGCCGUGCUUCCGCAGACCCGCUAUGUGGAGCUGUUCAUUGUUGUAGACAAGGAAAGGUAUGACAUGAUGGGGAAAAACCAGACUGCUGUGAGAGAAGAGAUGAUCCGCCUAGCAAACUAUCUGGACAGUAUGUAUAUCAUGUUAAACAUUCGAAUUGUUCUAGUUGGACUAGAAAUUUGGACAGAUAGAAACCCAAUCAAUAUAAUUGGAGGUGCUGGUGAUGUGUUGGGCAACUUCGUACAGUGGCGGGAAAAGUUUCUUAUAACACGCCGGAGACAUGACAGUGCACAGUUGGUUUUGAAGAAAGGCUUUGGUGGGACUGCAGGAAUGGCAUUUGUAGGAACAGUAUGUUCAAGGAGCCACGCCGGUGGGAUUAAUGUGUUUGGGCAAAUCACGGUGGAGACGUUUGCAUCCAUUGUUGCUCACGAGUUGGGUCAUAACCUUGGAAUGAAUCAUGAUGAUGGGAGAGAGUGUUUCUGUGGAUCCAAGAGCUGUAUCAUGAAUUCUGGGGCAUCAGGGUCCAGAAACUUCAGCAGUUGCAGUGCGGAGGACUUUGAGAAGUUAACUUUAAAUAAGGGAGGAAGCUGCCUUCUCAAUGUCCCGAAGCCUGAUGAAGCUUACAGUGCGCCCUUCUGUGGUAACAAGCUGGUGGACCCUGGGGAAGAGUGUGACUGCGGCACACCCAAGGAGUGUGAGAUGGACCCAUGCUGUGAAGGAAGCACUUGUAAGCUCAAGUCAUUUGCUGAAUGUGCAUAUGGCGACUGUUGUAAAGAUUGCCAGUUCCUUCCAGGAGGCUCUAUGUGCAGAGGAAAAACCAAUGAGUGUGAUGUCCCCGAGUACUGCAAUGGCUCCUCUCAGUUCUGUCCACCAGAUGUCUUCAUUCAGAAUGGAUAUCCUUGCCAGAAUAACAAAGCCUACUGUUACAAUGGCAUGUGCCAGUAUUAUGACGCACAGUGUCAGGUCAUCUUUGGUUCAAAAGCCAAGGCUGCCCCAAGAGAUUGCUUCAUUGAAGUGAAUUCUAAAGGUGACAGAUUUGGCAACUGUGGUUUCUCCGGGAGUGAGUACAAGAAGUGUGCCACUGGGAAUGCCUUGUGUGGGAAACUUCAAUGUGAGAACGUACAGGAUAUGCCAGUGUUUGGAAUAGUGCCAGCGAUCAUUCAGACACCUAGCCGAGGCACCAAAUGUUGGGGUGUGGACUUCCAGCUUGGUUCAGAUGUUCCAGAUCCAGGGAUGGUGAAUGAAGGCACAAAAUGUGAUGCUGGAAAGAUUUGUAGGAAUUUCCAGUGUGUAAAUGCUUCUGUCCUGAAUUAUGACUGUGACAUUCAGAAAAAAUGUCACGGCCAUGGGGUGUGUAAUAGCAAUAAGAAUUGUCACUGUGAAAAUGGCUGGGCUCCCCCGUAUUGUGAGACUAAAGGAUAUGGAGGAAGUGUGGACAGCGGCCCAACAUACAAUGCAAAGAGCACAGCACUGAGGGAUGGACUCCUGGUGUUGUUCUUCUUAGUCAUCCCCCUGGUUGCAAUUGCCAUUUUCCUCUUUAUCAGGAGAAAUGAACUACGGAGAACCUUCUUCAGAAAGAAGAGAUCACAAGCGUAUGAAUCAGAUGGCAGAAAUCAAGCAAGUGUCCCUCGACAGCCAGGGGGUCCAAGUGUCCCUCGACAGCCAGGGGGUCCAAGUGUCCCUCGACAGCCAGCGGGUCCUCAACAUAUUUCUCCAGUCGCCCCAUCUAGAGAAGCUCCUGUGAAUGCAAACAGAUUUCCAGUACCAACCUAUGCAGCCAAGCAGCCUCCGCAGUUUCCAUCAAGGUUGGAAGGAAAUGGGUUUAGAUGACUUGACCACAUUAUUGCAGUGCCUUGCAAUUUCUAAUUUAAAGUUGACUUAGGGCAAGGUAUUUAGGCCGCCUCCACCACAGCCAAAAAUAUCAUCUCAGGGAAAUUUGGUUCCUGCUCGGCCGGCUCCUGCACCUCCAUUAUAUAGCUCCCUCACCUGAUGUGAGGUUCUUAUUUUUCAAACAUCUUCAGGGAACUGAGCAAAUGCUUUUUUUUUUUUUUCCUGAUGUUUUCUUGAAAAGCCUUUCUCUUCCAACUAUGAAUGAAAACAAACUACCACAAAACAAGCUUUAUUAACACAGACACAGAGUGGGGAGCCGAGAGAUACGGGAACAUGCAAAGACUCCAGGAGACUUAGAGUUAACAUUUCCAUCAAUGAAACCUCCUCUUUGGUCAUUUGUGAGUCUAAUGAACUUAAUGUGGAUUAAGUUAUUUUGAACACACUAUUGAAAUGGUGUAAGAUUUGUCAUUAUGUGCUUAAAUGUAAUCCUGACUUAAUCGACUUCAGUUAUCAUUAAUAGUUUCUGGCUGAACAUUUGAACAUGUAUUAACCUAGGAAAACUGACUAACUGCCAGUAAUGUCUAUGUUUUCAUCUUGCAUGGAUUAACAGCCAUUUACACAGACUCCUGUCUCUUACUGUCUCCACAAAUAAGCAGCUAUCCUGAAGAUUUCACAAGAACCACAAUUACUAGGUCAUGACAUAAUUUGAAAGUAUGAAACAUGGUGUGUAUUCAGUUACUGGAUUCCAUUCUCAGGAUCUCUCGAGCAUAAUAACUAUUAUAGAAAUUGAUUUAACACUAGAUCAGUUCCUGGCUUUCAUUCUUUUAUGAUCUUUCAACUAUAAUGACUAUGGCAGCAAUUAAUUUAACACUAAAUUUUCUUUAUGCAUCAUGGUAAAGCAUUGCAGUAGCGUCGCUUUAAUUGAAGUGCACACUAUAUGGUACGAGGUGUUUAGUAGACCCGAGCAGAUAGGUGCGGAUUGAUCAGAAUCAUGGAGAAUGCCUUCCAUCGGGUGAGCUGUUAGAAAACCACUUGAGAAUUUGUGAGCACUUUAACUCUCAACUCUGAAUUUUGAAGCUUGAUAUUGAGUCAUUUAGAAUGUUUACAUUUGCUAAGAUGUGCUGGAUCUGGUCUCUUUUGACUAAUAUUUUCAUAAAAAUUAGGGUGGGGAAAGGAAGGAAGAAAUGAUUUCCUU